UACAGAGGUGGCAAGCGUUGUUCGGAUUUACUGGGCGUAAAGGGUGCGUAGGCGGUUCUGGGUGUCGGAUGUGAAAUCCCACGGAUUAUCCGUGGAACUGCAUUCGAAACUGCAGGGCUGGAGUGCAGGAGAGGAAGGUGGAAUUCUCGGUGUAGCGGUGAAAUGCGUUGAUAUCGAGAGGAACGCCGGAGGCGAAGGCGACCUUCUGGACUGCAACUGACGCUGAGGCACGAAAGUCAGGGGAGCAAACAGG
rnacentral:rRNA from 1 species